AUGUCUUGUAAACCGCGCGACCACCCUCUUGUUGCAGGAAAGACAAAGCGCGUGCUGCGAGAGGACAGCCGAACAAAACAGCAUUCUCCGCAUCUAAACAAAGACUGCAGAGGGAAAAGAGUGCAGCCAGAGCGCGCCCAGAGAGGAGAGAGAGGAGAGGAUGUGCUGUCUGCCGGUGGAGCAGACUUUAGGCGCGCUCGGAGAUUCCGUUUGCGCGCACCGACUGCGCUGGAUCGGAGACCAGCUGGAGAAGAGAUGGGCUGCAAACGACAAAAGCUCCGACGGUGGAAGACGAAGCGGCGGGGAAAGCAUCAUCAAAAGCUUCCACAUAGUGUGCACAGUCAUUCAAGUAACGCUUCUGGUGUUUUUAGUCAAAAAGCGACACCUGUAGGUGAGAAGAGGCUCUGCUGAUCUACAGCGGCAACAGAUGAAUCUUCAGAUUCUCCUGGGAUGAUCCGCUCCAGAUUUACCAGAGAGGAGAAGGUGCCGGUCACGUCUGCACGCUGUAGAAACUUGCCAUGCAAACAGUGGGUCGAUGUUUUCUCAUCCAUGUAGGUCACAACAUUUGCAGUAGUGUUGUAACGGAAACACGCACACACCAGACGCAUCCGUGCUGUACAUUCCAAGCAUGCUGAUCUAUUUUCAUAACGACCAAUGCUUCAUCCCGAAGUCUUCUUGAUCACCGAAACACCACAAGCCGAUUUCAUUCGGUACACGUUUGCUUGGUUAGAAGUCUUAAGGUCAGUGCAGUCAAACCCAGCAGUGUGUCUCCUGGGAAACCAUUCAAAAUAAAAGGCUGAUGUCAUUGUCCCCUGGCGUUUGC
ensembl:lncRNA